rnacentral:rRNA from 1 species
AACGCGAAGAACCUUACCAGGAUUUGACAUGCCCUCUAUGGAUCGUUGAAAGAUGAUCCUUCACUUCGGGUGGGAGGUGCACAGGUGCUGCAUGGCUGUCGUCAGCUCGUGUCGUGAGAUGUUGGGUUAAGUCCCGCAACGAGCGCAACCCUCGUCCUCUGUUGCUAACGCGUAAUGGCGAGAACUCUGAGGAAACUGCCGGUGAUAAGCCGGAGGAAGGUGGGGAUGACGUCAAGUCCUCAUGGCCCUUACAUCCUGGGCUACACACGUGUUACAAUGGCAGUGACAAUGCGUCGCUAACCCGCAAGGGUGCGCUAAUCGCAAAAAGCUGCCUCAGUUUGGAUUGUACUCUGCAACUCGAGUACAUGAAAUUGGAAUCGCUAGUAAUCGCGGAUCAGCACGCCGCGGUGAAUACGUUCCCGGGCCUUGUACACACCGCGCAUA